UACGGAGGGUGCAAACGUUGCUCGGAAUCAUUGGGCGUAAAGCGCACGUAGGUGGCCUGUUAAGUCGGGUGUGAAAUCCCUGGGCUCAACCCAGGAAGUGCACUCGAAACUGGCAGGCUUGAGUACUGAAGAGGGUCGCGGAAUUCCCGGUGUAGAGGUGAAAUUCGUAGAUAUCGGGAGGAACACCAGUGGCGAAGGCGGCAUCCUGGACCAAUAUUGACGCUGAGGAGCGAAAGCUAGGGGAGCAAACGGG
rnacentral:rRNA from 1 species